CAGUCGCCACGGGAAUACGUAGGUGGCAAGCGUUGUCCGGAGUUAUUGGGCGUAAAGCGCGCGCAGGCGGAUAGGUCAGUCUGUCUUAAAAGUUCGGGGCUUAACCCCGUGAUGGGAUGGAAACUGCCAAUCUAGAGUAUCGGAGAGGAAAGUGGAAUUCCUAGUGUAGCGGUGAAGUGCGUAGAUAUUAGGAAGAACACCAGUGGCGAAGGCGACUUUCUGGACGAAAACUGACGCUGAGGCGCGAAAGCCAGGGGAGCGAACGGGAUUAGAUACCCCAGUAGUCCCUGUCUCUUAUACA
rnacentral:rRNA from 1 species